rnacentral:rRNA from 1 species
GAUGAACGCUAGCGGCAGGCCUAAUACAUGCAAGUCGAGGGGCAGCAGGAAUAGCAAUAUUUGCUGGCGACCGGCGCACGGGUGCGUAACACGUAUACAAUCUGCCUUCUACAGGGGGAUAGCCUUUCGACAGAGAGAUUAAUACCCCAUAACUAAAGAAGUAGCAUUAUGUUUGGUUGAAAGAUCCGUCGGUAGAAGAUGUGUAUGCGGGUGAUUAGCUAGUUGGUGAGGUAACGGCUCACCAAGGCAACGAUCACUAGGGGAUCUGAGAGGACUACCCCCCACACUGGUACUGAGACACGGACCAGACUCCUACGGGAGGCAGCAGUAAGGAAUAUUGGACAAUGGAGGCAACUCUGAUCCAGCCAUGCCGCGUGCAGGAUGAAGGCCCUAUGGGUCGUAAACUGCUUUUGUACGAGAGAAAACCUAUUUACGUGUAGAUAGUUGAUAGUAUCGUAAGAAUAAGGAUCGGCUAACUUCGUGCCAGCCGCCGCGGUAAUAC